CCCAGACUCCUACGGGAGGCAGCAGUGGGGAAUAUUGCACAGUGGGGGGAACCCUGAUGCAGCAACGCCGCGUGAGUGAUGACGGCCUUCGGGUUGUAAAGCUCUGUCUUCAGGGACGAUAAUGACGGUACCUGAGGAGGAAGCCACGGCUAACUACGUGCCAGCAGCCGCGGUAAUACGUAGGUGGCGAGCGUUGUCCGGAUUUACUGGGUGUAAAGGGAGCGUAGACGGCAGCGCAAGUCUGAAGUGAAAUGCCGGGGCUUAACCCCGGAACUGCUUUGGAAACUGAGCAGCUAGAGUGCAGGAGAGGGAAGUGGAAUUCCUAGUGUAGCGGUGAAAUGCGUAGAUAUUAGGAGGAACACCGGUGGCGAAGGCGGCCUGCUGGACUGCAACUGACGUUGAGGCCCGAAAGCGUGGGGAGCAAACAGGAUUAGAUACCCUCGUAAAU
rnacentral:rRNA from 1 species